UGGGGGGGGGUGAGGACUCCUGAAGAUGGCAGCUGCCAUCCACAGACUCCUACGGAGCUGCUGGUCCUGAAAGGACGAGAGAGGCCGGCCCAUCAGGACAAUUAGCAGAUGUCCCCGGUAGGGUUUGACCUUCUCCGACCUGGAGCUUUGUGUCCGCGGCACAAGAGGGUGUGUGUGUGUGUGUGUGUGUGUGUGUGUGUGUGUGUGUGUGUACAAGAAGGAUCUUGUAACAGAAGUCGACGAGAGGACCAGUGAACUGCGGCCUGGUGUCAGGAUGCAGCGUGAUGAGGACUCUCAUGAGGAGGGAAGACAGCGGGAGGUUUUUCUCACAUUCUUUACUGGAUCUGGACGUAAUGUGUGUCCUCCAUCAGGAGGAAAGAGGAGGAGGAGACGCCACCAUCACCCCCUCUAACGACGCCCUAAAGGCCUUUAUGGCAGCACCCGGGGGUGCCCUCAGCAUUCCACGGCUCUUUGUGGGACGUCUUCUGGCACACUCUGACUUUUGUGCUUUUCGUCUCUUUUCUGGUUUCCUGACCCCCACAAAAAAGAAGACUUUUAAACGAUGUUUGACUUUCAGAGCGUGCCGGGUGGUCUCACAACACAAAGCCCCUCUUUAUGUUGUACAUCGCUCUUUACUUUGUCAACAGCUCAUGGAAAUGUGGAGGUCGAAGGAGACAAUCAAACAUCUGAUGAGCAGGAGCGUUGAUACGUGUAUUACUUAAACAUUCAUACACAUCUAGUAACGCUGGAGCUGAUUGGCUGUUGAGAAUCAAGUGGGAAUGCAAAAUGUUAAGCACUUAUCAAGAGGAAAUUCAUUACUUGAAUUCAUGACAAAUAUUCUAUUCUGUUCCUACGUGAGAGGAUUUUCUUCAAGUUUCUGAUUCAGAGCUGAAUAAAUGUUUGUAAAAGCAUCACGUCUGUCCUUAUUAUAAAGUCCUUAUAAAUAUACAUAUAUUAAGCCGAUUUUUAUUCUAUCCAACAGCUUGAUUUGUUUGCUGAAUAUUAAAAUCUAAAUCUUCA